CGAGAGGCGGGCACAAAAAGCGCAAGGAUGCAUCCGCACUGUAUAAUGAAUGCGGUUUGACACCACUUUGACUACCUUGGAAUCCUGAAAACUGGAUCAUAUGGCAGUGUAGAUGGGGCCCUAGAGAGGUGUUCUUUCAGCUGCCAACAUCUUGCCAGGCUGCAUUUGCAUUGGACUGGAUUUAAUCAACUACCUCAAUGGAACCCAUAAGAUCCAGGUGACACAGAGGCCAACCGGAGCCCUGGAGGACCAUCCAACUUUUGUAUUGCUGCUUGGACAAUACUUGACAAUUGCCAUCCUGAUAUUGCCAGCAGCACCUCCUCAGUCUCACUGCCAGAAGCUGCUUUCAAAUUAAAAAGAUGGAGUUUUCAGUCACGGGGAACCAUGCUACUGUCUUUGGAAAGGCCAUCUCCCCAUCAUUAUUCCCAGCCAUUGAACACUUACAUGGACAAUACUUAAUGUUGGAAUUUGCACUGGAGUCUGGUGUUUGGGACACUGGGCUUAAUCAGCAACUGGAUACAUAAGUGACAAUAAAGGUUUUGGGACCCAUCGGGGACAUUGUGUCCACACAUCAGGGAUACUUAAGCCAUCAUCUCAACCAUUGUUUGAAGACCUGCCAGCCCCUCUUUCAUCAUUGGACAGAGGGAAAUUUGCAUCGGAAGCAGGCAGCCAUGCCAGACUCCCACCUCUGCAGGGAGACCUCAUUGACAUCAUCCAGGCUUAGCCAAUCACGGCCAAGCUGGGUCCAGCUGUGGAUGGUGAGAACUUUGAAUCUGACAUGUAUAAAAAAAUGCCUGUUUUGCUGUAUAAUGUAUCUCAGCUUAUUGUGGGUGGAUUACCACAGACUGGCAACUGAAAUUACAUAAAUUCCUCGGUGGCUUCUACUUCAACUUUAUGAGAUUUAUUCUGGAAUAUUGGCUUCUUUUCUCAUCAGGAUUAACCCACAGUGGCUUGGAUCUCACUAUCCACUGCCAUUUUAAAUUGCUUGAUAACAAUGCCCCUGCAUGUGGAGCUAGAGCUGACAGAGGGGGCUCUCCCCAGAUUCGAAUCGGCCACCUUCAGGUCAGCAAUCCAACCUUCAAGUCAGCCAUCCUCCCAGCACAAGGGUUUAACCCAUUGCGCCAUCGGGGGCUCCCCCUUACCCCAGUGAAUAUGGAAGGCUGUUGCAUACAGUCUCCUGUCCAUCUAGUACUUUUUCAGAGAAAUGGACAGGAGACAGUACACAACAUCCUAAAUAAUGUAUAUGGCUGCCCCAUAGGUCUAUGUUAAUUUUGUUAAUUUUUUCAGAUCAAAAUGUGAAUACAACCCUUCCUGUUCCUUUGUCCUUCUUGCUCCUUGAAAUUGGACAAUCCAUCAUAGUGCACUGAGAAUACUAACUAUAACCAGCAAAAUUAGGCUUCAGGGUUGCAGGAUGUACAGUACUGUCUUUGCUUGCUUAUUUCAGCUCUAAGAAACACCAGCUGGAGUCUGUCACAAAAGUAUAUACAGUGAGAGUUAAAGAAUGUUGAGUUCAGGAAUUUACUUUGAGGGCCUUGAUUGGAAUGAACACAGUCCUCCAGCAUUACAGUCUAUUUCAGGUGGCCACAAACUUUUCUUUUGUUUCAGCAGUAAAAACUAGGGUGCAGGAGGACUCACGUUGUGCCUGCUCUUCUUAAAAACCCAAGAGUUAGUGAUCCUUAUGUAUCUGCUGGAAAUGACCCCAAAAUCUACUAAGAAAUACAGAUCUGAACAUCUUUGACCAGCUGCAGGGAAAGCCCCCUCAUUGCAUGAACUCACUCUCCAUGGAGGCCCCCCACUUUCGACCAAGCAGCUUCUUCAGGGCCCAGUGGUGUUUAAGGAAAGACAUAUGGUCAAGGUAUGAGAUUGAUUGGCUUUGAUGGUUCAAAUCCUGCUAGCCUGGAUUUCACAAUGGGUCUGAGCUAAGGAGACAAUGGGUGCAAAACACCUUGAUGGGUUCCCAUCAGGGAGACAAAGGAUGACUCCCUGUUCUUUCAGACUGGCGAAGGAUUAAUUCAGUGUUGAGUGCAAAGGUCUAUUAUUGGUCAGGAAGGAUGGGCAUUGGGUUUACGGUGUUGCAAUGGGUUAGACCAUUGUGCCAGCUGGACUGCUGACCUGAAGGUUGGGUUGCUGACCUGAAGAUUGCUGGUUUGAAUCCGCGAGACGGGGUGAGCUCCCAUCUGUCAGCUCUAGCUUGCGGGGACAUGAGAAAAGCCUCCUGAGAAGAUAGUAACACAUACGGGCUUUCUGCUUUUUCUUGUCCCCUGCUUUAUUUGUGUUACACUGAUUACUUCCUCAGCCAUAACUUUCUUGUCCCACCUUCUGCAGCCACACAAUCUUCUUUUUGCCUCUUUCUCCUCUUUCCUCAGGCUGGAUCUACUUUUCUCUAUACCCCAGGAUCUGAUCCCAGAUUAUAUGCAUUGUACUGAAUUAUGAAUCCUCACUACCAUAUUAUCUGGGAUAAGAAGACAAUUUGGGAUCAAAUCCUGGAAUAUAGAGCAGUGUAGAAGGGGUCUCAGUAUCAUACAACUUCUUCAGAAUCCACACUUUCAUUUGUUUUGCUUGCCUUCUGCUCUUUCUUCCAUGGCUGGAUCUAGUAAAGAUUCCCCUGACAUGAAGUCUAGUCGUGUCCGACUCUGGGGGUUGGUGCUCGUCUCCAUUUCUAAGCCGAAGAAGUUGUCCGUAGACGCCUCCAAGGUCAUGUGGCCAGCAUGUCUGCAUGGAGCGCCGUUACCUUUCCGCUGGAGUGGUACCUAUUGAUCUGCUCACAUUUGCAUGUUUUCGAACUGCUAGUUUGGCAGAAGCUGGGGCUAACAGCGGGAGCUCACCCUGCUCCCUGGAUUUGAACCGCCAACCUUUCGGUCAGCAAGUUCAGCGGAUCUACACUGGCUGGAUCAACACUGCCCUAUAAUCCAGUUUCAAUAUGUGGAUUAAUUUAAUUGAUCUGGAUUAUAGGGCAGUGUAGACCGAUAUCAUCCAGUUCAAUGCAGAUAAUCCACAUUUUGAAACUGGAUUGUAGAGCAGUGUAGAUCAGGCCUAUGUCUCAUUUUCUACCAGCUUUUCAUCUGUCUAUUAGAGCACAUCUACACUGUGGCAUUAAUGCAGUUUGACACCACUUGAACUGCUGUCACUCAAUGUUAUGGAAACGUAACAGUUGUAGUUUUACAAGGUCUUUAGAAUUCUCUGCCAAGGAGUGCAGGUGUCUCACCAAACUACAACUCCCAAGAUUCUCAUAAUGUAAAGACUUAAAAACCUUCUGAGAUAUUUUGACUCCUGAGAAGGAGGUUGCAAUGCAUGAUCAGUCUCUCUUAUCAUACUUACUCAUUAGGAGAAUCAUAACCAGGAUAGUACAACAGGGAUUUAUUUCCAUGCAGCAGAACAAUUUACAGUAGACUCCCAGUUAACCAGAAUUCAAGUGACCUGAAUUCUCAAGCAACUGACAAAAAAUCAAACGAAAUGAUGCUGCAUUCAUUUUUUUCGUGUCAGGAGCAACUUGAGAAACUGCAAGUUGCUUCUGGUGUGAGAGAAUUGGCCGUCAGCAAGGACGUUGCCCAGGGGAUGCCAGGAUGGUUUUUUUUUAUGUUUUUACCAUCCUUAUGGGAGGCUUCUCUCAUGUCCCUGCAUGGAGCUGAUAGAGCGAGCUCAUCCACACUCUACCCUGGUUGGAUUUGAACCGGCAACCUUCAAGUCAGCAACCCAACCUUCAAUUCAUCAGUCCUGCCGGCACAAGGGUUUAACCCACUGCACCACCAGAGACUACUACUGCAUUCAUGAAUCUGUGUUGUUUGUCUUUAUUUGUCUUCACUGUUUUUUUAAUUACUUUCAAUAUAAUAUCAAGUCAAUACAGAAUUUAUGCUAUGGUAUAGUAUGAGGUAUAGUAUUAAACGUAUUUUUAAUAACAACUCUCAAGCAAGCAGAAACUACAUUCAUCCUGCAUCUUUCAACCUCCAUGAGUUCUGGUUAACUGAGUGUCUGUUAUCCUCCUUACUCUUCCUGAUGUUAUGAGCCCUCUGAACACAGAAGGUGGUGGACUCUCCUUCAUCAGAAGUUUUAAAGAAGACAUUAGAUGUCAAUUUUUCAGGAAUCCUUCAGCUGUAGAUUCCUGCACUGGGAAAGGUUGGACUAAGAUGGUACUUACUCUCCCUUCCCAUUUUAUGGCUCUACCCUAAAUUGUAUGGGCUGGUGAAAGGGAAUUUACCCUAAGUCAGUGGUUCUCAACCUGGGGUCCACGGAUGUUUUUGGCCUACAACUCCCAGAAAUCCCAGCCAGUUUACCAGUUGUUAGGAUCUCUGGGAGUUGAAGACCAAAAACAUUUUGAGAACCACUGCCUUAAGUUCUUUUAAAUAGCUAUGUACCUACCAAGCCAACAGGACAAUGAAAAGAAACAUGACAACUUUUUAUGAAAUAAUGACAUUUUGUGUGCGCGCACUGAACUGGAAUGGUUUUGGCCCCCAAAAAGCAUUAAAUGUAAUAGCAUCAUAUUUAUUUAUUAGAAAUAUUUAUAAAUGACUCUUGUGCCCACUGAGGCUUCCACAGCAAUGUACAAUGUAAAAACACAAUAUAAAAAUGAUAGCAAUGACAGUUAAAAAAAAGUAAAGAACAUUUUCAAAGUUGGUGGCCUAACCCAAUCACAAGCUUUCUGACAACCUUCAGAAGCCUAACAAGAACAUAGCCAGCCUGACUUCCCAUAGGGAUGGCUGGGAGGGUGGUGCACAAUGGAGUGCUGCCCUAGGAAAAGUCUUUUCUUGUUUAUUUGUCAAUAUGGGUGCUGGGACAUGCAAGAAGUUCUGGUUUGAAAAGAAUGUGGGCAGACUCACAUGGGAAAAUACAGCCCUUAAGGUAUCCUGGUCUCAAGCUAUUUACCAGUUCAGAAGCAACUCUUUAAACUGAUCUUGAAAACAAGGCAGCACAGCCAGUUUGGACUAGUGAUGGAUGCUCACAGCACACAAGACACAGCAGUGUGCUUACUGCAUGUUGCACUGGCUGUCUCUUCCAAACUCUUAAAGGUCAGCCCCACUGAGAGCACAGGACAGUACUGUAAUAGAAAGGACUGUUGUGGCCAAAUCCACCUUCUUGAGGAAGAAGCAUAGCUGAGCCAAUGCGCACCAAGCCACAACAUGCAUAUGGCUCUCUAGGAAUAGAUCGGAGUCCAAGACAUUCCCAAACUGUAAACCCGGUCCUUCAGAGAGAGAAUGUAAUCACAUUCAGACUAAGACUCCUUCCACACUGCCCUAUUAUCCCUGGAUCUGAUCCCAGAUUAUCUGCUUAUCCCAGAUUAUUUGGCAGUGGAGACUCAUAUAAUCCAGUUUAAACCAGAUAAUCUGGGAACAGAUCCUGGGAUAUAGGGCAGUGUAGAAUGGGUCUAAAUUACAACCCCAAUUCCUGGUUGACUUUUCUGUCUUCUCUGGUUCAAAGUCUUAUUUGUUUAUCAUAUUUGUCAGCGCAUCUUCCACAGCAUCCCUAGCAUUCUAGCGUGGGAAAGGUUCAGUCAGCGAUUAUCAGCUCAGUGGUGCUCUCUCCUUCAUUUAAAUCUGGGAUUAGCUACUAACUACAGCAGCCAAAAAAAAUUAAAAUAAAAUUGGAAGUAGCAAGAAAUCCACUUCUGAUUUUGAAAAUACGUUAUGGGUAUGGGGCAGGGUGGAGGAUGCUGAAUAGUGUAGGGAAUGGAGUCUCCACCCCCGACAAGCUUCCUUUGGUGGUAUCAGAAAAGAGUGGUGUUGAAGGGCUGAAGGGCCGAAAACCAAUCUUAAGGAUUACAAGUGGCCCUCAGGCUGCAUGUUGUCAGCUCUGAUGUCAAAGUAAGAAACCAGGUCAAUUCUGAUACAAUUUGCCAGUGUAAGCAAAGUGCAUCUAGAGGCCACAUGCGACCCCCAAAAGGCAAAACAGUUCCAGUUCCCCAGUUCCAGCUUCUGGUAUUAUCUGCCCAUUGCAGAGCUGGAAGCACAGCUCCAAUUCUCAUUUUAGCUAAACAUCCCAGAAAAAUAUGACUGAUGUUACUGAAUAUCAUGGAGAAGUCCAGCAAACCAACAGGGAUAUACCUCCUUAUUCAGCUGCUGGAGUAGGUCACCUAACAAGGCAACAAAACCUGUUUAUGUCCUGAAACCAUACCUGAAUGCACAUUAGAAUGAGCCAAACACAAGGACAUAAUUUUAUAUUUACACUAGGGACAAUUAAACUGUGUCUGGACUUACAGAAACAAGUUGUGUUGUGUUGGCUGGGGUUCACUCUGGCAGGGUUUCAGGCCCUUGGGUGAGUGCAAUGGACUGAAAUAACCUCUCAACCACUCUUUUAUAGCAUUGUUAUUAAGGACUAGGCCUGAAUGAAGGAGGACUGUAGUUGCCCAUGUGAUUCCGUGGAGACAGAAGUGAAGUUUGAGAUAUGCUGCUGAAGGUCUCUAUGGACUUCAUCCCGUGGCUUUCAGGCUCUAUUUCCAUGCUCUGUGGAAGAAGCCCCAUGGAGGCCAUCACAUGACAUAAGGUCACUUCCUGUGGGACUCCAUGGAGCUCCGUUUCCAUAGAGCAUGGAAACAGAGCCUAGAAGUCAUCUUCAGGAGAUGAGUGUUACCCAACUCCAAAUGGCAGAUAGAUGGAGAAAGAUCAACACAGUAAGGAUGUGGGAUGGCUGGCCAUCCCACAAAACAAGAAAAGAUGGGAGGAAAUGAAGUAAGACUGCUCCCACCACUUUCCCCUGCUUUCCCUCCACUUAUGGGAUGAGGUCCUAAGACCUUUCUUCCGAGGAAAGGGGAUAAUGUUUCACCGAGGAAAUUAUUUUGCGAGCAGUUGGUUUACCACCCUCAAUUCGGAUUUGGGAGAAGACACCACAACUCUAGAAGGCUCUGUGUUCUGAUCCAUCAGUCCAGAGGGAACCUAAAAGUGCAACAAGAAAUCAAUGUAAGUUGGCAGGAUUUACAAAUCACAAAGCGAAAUCAGAUCGAAAUGAGAUCCAGUGUUUUCAAAGAAUGCCAUCAGAACAGAACCAGGACUUCCUUUAAUAAAAGUUAGAUCAUA